rnacentral:misc_RNA from 1 species
UUUACAAGUUAGUUGACAGAAGCUUGACCGGUUGCAGGCCCUGGUUUUUGUGCAGAAAUGGACUGUUUUAGGUUAUUAUUUUGAUCAGAGUUGGGUGGUUUGGGUGCAUAAGGGAUUGGUUCUGGCACUGUUCUGGUAGGUUCUGGAAAAAAAAAAAAAAAAAAAGGUUUCUUGCUGUAGUUAAGUAGUUCUUGAAAUUUGGCAGUUUCAAAAGCAUGGACAAGGGUAGUAGGUCUCAUCAUCCACACCAUAGGCCUAAUAUCAUCUCUCAAUCGUCCAACAAAAUCAGAAAGGAAAUAGGCUUCUCCCAAGCUAGGCAUCACCCUUUCCAACCUUAUUUUGAUAUCCUCAUACUUAUCUAAAUACUCUUCAAUAGAUCCCUCUUGCCUUAUCUUCAUAAACUCCUCAACAAUAUCCUCCAGCCCAUCCUCUCCAAAUCUUCCACAUAAUUCUCUUUCAAAAUCUUCCCAAGCAUGAGAUCCAGCCCCCUUAAUCGAAUUGUGAUGCCAAGCAUCAGCCCUAUCUACUAAAAAUUGACUAGCAAUUCCCACCAUUUGGUCUUUAGGUACCCCGUACACCUCAAAUUAUAUGAUACAUUUCCUAAUCCAAGCCCUAGGUUCCUUUCCAUCAAAUGUAACUAGCUUGACUUUGGGCAAGAUCUUUGACAUACCUUCAUUCUCUGCUGUAGAUCCAACACUAUUAUCUUCUUUCUGCAGCUGAUUCCCAUUCUCA